AAAAAAAAAAAAGGAAAACACACGGACUAAGGAAAAAUUGAGAGAGAAACAAGAGAACUGAAAGAAGUGUGAAAAGAGAACAAGGAAAAGGCUUGGAAGAAGCAAGAAGGUUGGAAGAAAAUCUAGAGAAAACGUAAGGAAAAAAAAACAGUACAAAGUUCGAAAAAGAUAGAGCAUACGGAUAGACAACGAUUUAGAGUUUGAAGUUUGGUCUGUAAUUGUGAGUUUGUGGCUUCUUCUUUCUUUUGUGGAGGAUUAUUUUCACAAGUGUGGUAACAUUUAAAUCAUUUGAUGUAGUUUAGAUGAUAUAUUAUGGAAACGAGAUUUUGUU
rnacentral:lncRNA from 1 species